AUUGAACGCUGGCGGCAGGCCUAACACAUGCAAGUCGAACGAGUGGCGGACGGGUGAGUAAUGUCUGGGAAACUGCCUGAUGGAGGGGGAUAACUACUGGAAACGGUAGCUAAUACCGCAUACCAUCGGAUGUACCCAGAUGGGAUUAGGUAGUAGGGGGGGUAAAGGCUCCCCUGGGCGACGAUCCAUAGCUGGUCUGAGAGGAUGACCAGCCACACUGGAACUGAGACACGGUCCAGACUCCUACGGGAGGCAGCAGUGGGGAAUAUUGCACAAUGGGCGAAAGCCUGAUGCAGCCAGGCCGCGUGUAUGAAGAAGGCCUUCGGGUUGUAAAGUACUUUCAGCGGGGAGGCGUUACCCGCAGAAGAAGCACCGGCUAACUCCGUGCCAGCAGCCGCGGUAAUUC
rnacentral:rRNA from 1 species